rnacentral:lncRNA from 12 species
UUGGAUCACAUCUCCCCCCACCCUGGGCUCUGUAGAUGGUUGUAUUUCCAAGAAGGUUGUGGGUAAAGAUGUAUUAGGAAACUGUUUCUUGGAAUGGAAUGCAUGAAGAGAGAGGCAGAAACUCCACAUGUGCAGAGGAUAAAGAGGGGAAGAAGCAAAAUGCCUUGAAGAGAGCUGUAGACCUCAAACCCAGCCUGGUAAAUGAGGAUUCUUCCCUUCAGCAGGUGGUACAAUGUCCAUAAAGAGCAAGAAGUGAUGUGGCAAGAGGGCAAACCAGCAGGAUGCAUCAGCACAGGUAAGCCCAUGUGCAUCACUCAUCUCCCAGAGAAGCACUGAACUGCUCUUG